rnacentral:rRNA from 1 species
AUGAAGGGGAGGAAGAGGCAUCACGCCUUGUCCUGCUGCGUGCUGCUCACCGUUCUCGUCAUCCUGGGCAUCCUCUCCCUCGUGCUCUACAUCCUGUACCGCCCGCUCCCGCCGCGCGUGGUGACGUCGCCCGUGGAGACCACCGUCGAGGACUUCAGCCUCCUCCCGGCGUCGCUCACGCUGUCCGCGAGCGUGCACGUGAUGGCGAGCAACCCGAGCCGCGCGCCGUUCCGGUACGGGGAGACGGUGACGGCGGUGACGUACCACGGCGAACCCGUGGGGACGACGGUGGUGCCGGCCGGCAAGAUCGGCAGGCGGACGACGUCGUGGGUGGCGCCGGUGACGGAGGUGGACGGGUUCAAGGUGGCCGAGAGCCCGCACUUCGCCGGCGACGUGGUGGCCGGGGCGCUUCCGUUCGUGGUGGUGGUGAGGCUGGACGGGAAGGCGCUGGUGCUGCGCGCGUUUGAGGUGAGCGUGACCGUCGAGGUGGUGUGCUACGUCCAGGUCUACGUCCUCCAGGGGGACAGCAGCUCGAACUGCGUCUCGAGGGUCCGCACAGGGCCUGGACGUAAUUACUAG